UGGGGGAUAUUGCACAAUGGGCGAAAGCCUGAUGCAGCGACGCCGCGUGGGGGAUGAAGGCUUUCGGGUUGUAAACCUCUUUCGCUAUCGAACAAGGCCCGCUUAGGGUGGGUUGAGGGUAGGUGGAGAAGAAGCGCCGGCUAACUACGUGCCAGCAGCCGCGGUAAUACGUAGGGCGCGAGCGUUGUCCGGAAUUAUUGGGCGUAAAGGGCUUGUAGGCGGCUUGUUGCGCCUGCUGUGAAAACGCGGGGCUUAACUUCGCGCGUGCAGUGGGUACGGGCAGGCUUGAGUGUGGUAGGGGUGACUGGAAUUCCAGGUGUAGCGGUGGAAUGCGCAGAUAUCUGGAGGAACACCGAUGGCGAAGGAAGGUCACUGGGCCAUUACUGACGCUGAGGAGCGAAAGCAUGGGUAGCGAACAGG
rnacentral:rRNA from 1 species